rnacentral:rRNA from 1 species
GGACCCGCACAAGCAGUGGAGCAUGCGGAUUAAUUCGAUGCAACGCGAAGAACCUUACCAGGGUUUGACAUAUAUUUGUAGGAUUUUCUAGAGAUAGUUAAUCCAUCCCUUUUGGGCCUAUAUACAGGUGGUGCAUGGCUGUCGUCAGCUCGUGUCGUGAGAUGUUAGGUUAAGUCCUUCAACGAGCGCAACCCUUGUGAUAUGUUACUAACGGAUAAUGCCGAGGACUCAUAUCAGACCGCCGAGGUCAACUCGGAGGAAGGUGGGGAUGACGUCAAGUCAUCAUGCCCCUUACAUCCUGGGCUUCACGCAUGCUACAAUGGCAACUACAAUUGUGCCGCUAAAUCGCAAGAUCAUGCUAAUCACAAAAAAGUUGUCUCAGUUCGGACUGGGGUCUGCAACUCGACCCCACGAAGUUGGAAUUGCUAGUAAUCGUAGAUCAGCAACGCUA